UGCUCACGAACUCUGGUAUUGAUUGGUGCUUGCAUCAUGAUUUACAUUUGAGUGAGUGGCGAACUGGUGAGUAACACGUGGGAAACCUGCCCAGAAGCGGGGGAUAACACCUGGAAACAGAUGCUAAUACCGCAUAACAACUUGGACCGCAUGGUCCGAGUUUGAAAGAUGGCUUCGGCUAUCACUUUUGGAUGGUCCCGCGGCGUAUUAGCUAGAUGGUGGGGUAACGGCUCACCAUGGCAAUGAUACGUAGCCGACCUGAGAGGGUAAUCGGCCACAUUGGGACUGAGACACGGCCCAAACUCCUACGGGAGGCAGCAGUAGGGAAUCUUCCACAAUGGACGAAAGUCUGAUGGAGCAACGCCGCGUGAGUGAAGAAGGGUUUCGGCUCGUAAAACUCUGUUGUUAAAGAAGAACAUAUCUGAGAGUAACUGUUCAGGUAUUGACGGUAUUUAACCAGAAAGCCACGGCUAACUACGUGCCAGCAGCCGCGGUAAUACGUAGGUGGCAAGCGUUGUCCGGAUUUAUUGGGCGUAAAGCGAGCGCAGGCGGUUUUUUAAGUCUGAUGUGAAAGCCUUCGGCUCAACCGAAGAAGUGCAUCGGAAACUGGGAAACUUGAGUGCAGAAGAGGACAGUGGAACUCCAUGUGUAGCGGUGAAAUGCGUAGAUAUAUGGAAGAACACCAGUGGCGAAGGCGGCUGUCUGGUCUGUAACUGACGCUGAGGCUCGAAAGUAUGGGUAGCAAACAGGAUUAGAUACCCUGGUAGUCCAUACCGUAAACGAUGAAUGCUAAGUGUUGGAGGGUUUCCGCCCUUCAGUGCUGCAGCUAACGCAUUAAGCAUUCCGCCUGGGGAGUACGGCCGCAAGGCUGAAACUCAAAGGAAUUGACGGGGGCCCGCACAAGCGGUGGAGCAUGUGGUUUAAUUCGAAGCUACGCGAAGAACCUUACCAGGUCUUGACAUACUAUGCAAAUCUAAGAGAUUAGACGUUCCCUUCGGGGACAUGGAUACAGGUGGUGCAUGGUUGUCGUCAGCUCGUGUCGUGAGAUGUUGGGUUAAGUCCCGCAACGAGCGCAACCCUUAUUAUCAGUUGCCAGCAUUAAGUUGGGCACUCUGGUGAGACUGCCGGUGACAAACCGGAGGAAGGUGGGGAUGACGUCAAAUCAUCAUGCCCCUUAUGACCUGGGCUACACACGUGCUACAAUGGAUGGUACAACGAGUUGCGAACUCGCGAGAGUAAGCUAAUCUCUUAAAGCCAUUCUCAGUUCGGAUUGUAGGCUGCAACUCGCCUACAUGAAGUCGGAAUCGCUAGUAAUCGCGGAUCAGCAUGCCGCGGUGAAUACGUUCCCGGGCCUUGUACACACCGCCCGUCACACCAUGAGAGUUUGUAACACCCAAAGUCGGUGGGGUAACCUUUUAGGAACCAGCCGCCUAAGGUGGGACAGAUGAUUAGGGUGAAGUCGACG
rnacentral:rRNA from 1 species